AGGCUUUGAUCCUGGCUCAGGAUGAACGCUGGCGGUAUGCUUAACACAUGCAAGUCGAACGGUGCCUUCGGGCAUAGUGGCGGACGGGUGAGUAACGCGUGAGAAUCUAGCUCUAGGUCGGGGACAACCACUGGAAACGGUGGCUAAUACCGGAUGUGCCGAAAGGUGAAAGAUUUAUUGCCUAGAGAUGAGCUCGCGUCUGAUUAGCUAGUAGGUGUGGUAAAAGCGCACCUAGGCGACGAUCAGUAGCUGGUCUGGGAGGAUGAUCAGCCACACUGGGACUGAGACACGGCCCAGACUCCUACGGGAGGCAGCAGUGGGGAAUUUUCCGCAAUGGGCGAAAGCCUGACGGAGCAAUACCGCGUGAGGGAGGAAGGCUCUUGGGUUGUAAACCUCUUUUCUCAGGGAAGAAAAAAAUGACGGUACCUGAGGAAUAAGCAUCGGCUACUCCG
rnacentral:rRNA from 1 species